rnacentral:rRNA from 1 species
GUGAGGAAUAUUGGGCAAUGGGCGAAAGCCUGACCCAGCCACGUCGCGUGAGUGAUGAAGGCCUUCGGGUUGUAAAGCUCUGUGGGGAGGGAAGAAAAAGCGGGAGAGUAACUGCUCUCGUGUUGACGGUACCUCCUUAGCAAGCACCGGCUAACUCUGUGCCAGCAGCCGCGGUAAUACAGAGGGUGCAAACGUUGCUCGGAAUUACUGGGCGUAAAGCGCGUGUAGGCUGACAUGCAAGUCGGGUGUGAAAUCCCAGGGCUCAACCUUGGAACUGCACUCGAAACUGCACGUCUUGAGUACUGGAGAGGGAAGCGGAAUUCCGGGUGUAGAGGUGAAAUUCGUAGAUAUCCGGAGGAACACCAGUGGCGAAGGCGGCUUCCUGGACAGUAACUGACGCUGAGACGCGAAAGCGUGGGGAGCAAACAGGAUUAGAAACCCUAGUAGUCC